rnacentral:rRNA from 1 species
AUACGAAGGGGGCUAGCGUUGCUCGGAAUCACUGGGCGUAAAGGGUGCGUAGGCGGGUCUUUAAGCCAGAGGUGAAAUCCUGGAGCUCAACUCCAGAACUGCCUUUGAUACUGAGGAUCUUGAGUUCGGGAGAGGUGAGUGGAACUGCGAGUGUAGAGGUGAAAUUCGUAGAUAUUCGCAAGAACACCAGUGGCGAAGGCGGCUCACUGGCCCGAUACUGACGCUGAGGCACGAAAGCGUGGGGAGCAAACAGGAUGAGAUACCCUGGUAGUCCACGCCGUAAACGAUGAAUGCCAGCCGUUGGUGGGUUUACUCACCAGUGGCGCAGCUAACGCUUUAAGCAUUCCGCCUGGGGAGUACGGUCGCAAGAUUAAA